ensembl:snRNA U7 U7 small nuclear RNA
AAGUGUUACAGCUCUUUUAGAAUUUGUCUAGCAGGUCUUCCAGUCUCUACUGGGAGCCCCCC